ACUGCUUCGCUCUCUGCAUCGGUUGUGAAUAUUCUCAAAAUUCAUCAAAGACGCUAAAACUUUAUUAACUACGCACCCCGGGGUUGGUCUGUGAAGUGCAGUGAUUUGUGUUUCCCAAAAACUACCUAUUGGAUCGUGGAAGCUACCGGCGCUGGACGAGAGCUCGAGUUACGGACCAGAGUCCUGGUGACGGCGGCGGUGGGCACGAACUCGGCGGCGAGCGGGUUGAGGCGGGAGCGAACAAACUCAGCAGCGAGCGGGUUGAGGCGGGAGCGGGACACGGUCUCCGCGAGGGACAGCGACGGGGCGCCGUUGCUGUCGGCGAAGUCGUCGGGCGUCGCCGGCGCCGCGUAGGGCGCCGGGGGGUAAUACGCGCCGGCCAUGACGUAGCCUGGAUAUAUACAGGAAAAAUUUAAUGUAAACAUUCAUAUAAGAAUUUAUGACGUCAUGGUGAGAAAUUUGAUGACAUAUAACACGAUUGGUUCAACAUUGACAAAGUUAUUUGACAAGUAUGUGUUGCGUCACCU